CGAUGUCGGCUCUUCCUAUCAUUGAGACGCAGAAGUCUCAAAGUGUCGGAUUGUUCACCCGCCAAUAGGGAACGUGAGCUGGGUUUAGACCGUCGUGAGACAGGUUAGUUUUACCCUACUGACAAAGUAGAUACUGCGACAGUAGUCGAAGUUAGUACGAGAGGAACACUUCGUCCAGAUACUUGGUUAAUGCCGUUGUCUGAAAAGACAGUACGGCGAAGCUACCAUCUGCUGGAUUACGGCUGAACGCCUCUAAGCCGGAAUCCAUGCUGGAUAAGCAGUGUUGUACACCGUGCUCAAUGCUACAAGAAAAAGGCUAGGUCAGGCUUCGGCCUGACCAAAAUUCAAGCUGCUAUACCUCUGGCUGCAUUGACUUGUGGUCAGAGUGUAUGGUGAUCAUAGCAAUUGCAAGUAUUGGGCUCGAUAAAUCCUUUGAAGACGACUUAAUUGCAUCCGGGUAUUGUAAGUGUUGAGAGUAGGCUUAGUCUUACGAUCCACUGAGAUUCAUCCCGUGUUGCGCCGAUUUGU
rnacentral:ncRNA from 1 species